rnacentral:rRNA from 1 species
ACUUGCUUUCUUUGCUGGCGACCGGCGCACGGGUGAGUAACACGUAUCCAACCUACCCUUUACUCGGGGAUAGCCUUUCGAAAGAAAGAUUAAUACCCGAUGGCAUAGUUCUUCCGCAUGGUAGAACUAUUAAAGAAUUUCGGUCAUCGAUGGGGAUGCGUUCCAUUAGGUUGUUGGCGGGGUAACGGCCCACCAAGCCUUCGAUGGAUAGGGGUUCUGAGAGGAAGGUCCCCCACAUUGGAACUGAGACACGGUCCAAACUCCUACGGGAGGCAGCAUG